CACGUAGGGCGCAAGCGUUGUCCGGAAUUAUUGGGCGUAAAGAGCUCGUAGGCGGUUUCGUAAGUCGGGUGUGAAAACUCUGGGCUCAACCCAGAGACGCCACCCGAUACUGCGAUGACUAGAGUCUGGUAGGGGAUCGUGGAAUUCCUGGUGUAGCGGUGAAAUGCGCAGAUAUCAGGAGGAACACCAGCGGCGAAGGCGGCGAUCUGGGCCAGUACUGACGCUGAGGAGCGAAAGGCGUGGGGAGCGAACAGG
rnacentral:rRNA from 1 species